rnacentral:rRNA from 1 species
UUUAGGGGAGGCAGCAGUGAGGAAUAUUGGUCAAUGGGCGGAAGCCUGAACCAGCCAAGUAGCGUGCAGGAUGACGGCCCUAUGGGUUGUAAACUGCUUUUAUGCGGGGGUAAAGUGAGUGACGUGUCAUUCAUUGCAAGUACCGCAAGAAUAAGGACCGGCUAAUUCCGUGCCAGCAGCCGCGGUAAU